rnacentral:rRNA from 1 species
UACGAGCUGAGGGCGUCUGGGUCACCUCCCACCCGUGUUUAUUUUACCUUGUUGCUUCGGCGGGCCCGCCUUAACUGGCCGCCGGGGGGCUUACGCCCCCGGGCCCGCGCCCGCCGAAGACACCCUCGAACUCUGUCUGAAGAUUGUAGUCUGAGUGAAAAUAUAAAUUAUUUAAAACUUUCAACAACGGAUCUCUUGGUUCCGGCAUCGAUGAAGAACGCAGCGAAAUGCGAUACGUAAUGUGAAUUGCAAAUUCAGUGAAUCAUCGAGUCUUUGAACGCACAUUGCGCCCCCUGGUAUUCCGGGGGGCAUGCCUGUCCGAGCGUCAUUGCUGCCCUCAAGCACGGCUUGUGUGUUGGGCCCCGUCCUCCGAUCCCGGGGGACGGGCCCGAAAGGCAGCGGCGGCACCGCGUCCGGUCCUCGAGCGUAUGGGGCUUUGUCACCCGCUCUGUAGGCCCGGCCGGCGCUUGCCGAUCAACCCAAAUUUUUAUCCAGGUUGACCUCGGAUCAGGUAGGGAUACCCGCUGAACUUAAGC